rfam:Pseudomonas sp. M47T1 contig032, whole genome shotgun sequence.
AAGAGGUGCAAUGCGCUGGCUAGCCAGCAUCCCAAAUAGCCAGGACCUGUAAGGCUAAGUCACCCCUGUGAUGGUCCAGCCCAAGUGCGAUCCGCGUUCGGUAGCUCGCACGGUCACCUUCGGGUGAUGAACGC